rnacentral:rRNA from 1 species
GGAUCAUUACCGAGUUUAAACUCCCAAACCCAAUGUGAACGUUACCAAACUGUUGCCUCGGCGGGAUCUCUGCCCCGGGUGCGUCGCAGCCCCGGACCAAGGCGCCCGCCGGAGGACCAACCAAAACUCUUAUUGUAUACCCCCUCGCGGGUUUUUUUAUAAUCUGAGCCUUCUCGGCGCCUCUCGUAGGCGUUUCGAAAAUGAAUCAAAACUUUCAACAACGGAUCUCUUGGUUCUGGCAUCGAUGAAGAACGCAGCGAAAUGCGAUAAGUAAUGUGAAUUGCAGAAUUCAGUGAAUCAUCGAAUCUUUGAACGCACAUUGCGCCCGCCAGUAUUCUGGCGGGCAUGCCUGUCCGAGCGUCAUUUCAACCCUCGAACCCCUCCGGGGGGUCGGCGUUGGGGAUCGGCCCUGCCUUGGCGGUGGCCGUCUCCGAAAUACAGUGGCGGUCUCGCCGCAGCCUCUCCUGCGCAGUAGUUUGCACACUCGCAUCGGGAGCGCGGCGCGUCCACAGCCGUUAAACACCCAACUUCUGAAAUGUUGACCUCGGAUCAGGUAGGAAUACCCGCUGAACUUAAGCAUAU